AGUAUCUUCACUUAUUCCUUAAAGGGACAGUUUACCCAAAAAAUGAAAUUCUAUCUAGAGAUAGAAUGAUUACUGAUUUGAUGAUAAAUCAUGAUUAAAUUCCCCAUGGUUAGUAUUACCAUUUCAUAUUUUAAUUAUCAUUAAAACCGUAUUCGAUUACUGCAAUUUGAACAACUGAGGAUAAAUAAAUACUAUCCAGCAUAAAGCACCGUUUUAAGUAACAGUCUGAUGUGCACACGGCAUGCAGAGUAUAGUUUUGUUUUGUGUGAAAAUGUUGGGAGGUUUUAAUAGUGUGCUAAGGGAAUUAUGCAAAUGAAUAUAUGAAUGAAUCAAUUGUGUGAAUGUACCUCUGAAGGUUCUGGCUGCCUUCAGAAAAGAUUCAAUGGCAUUUUGUUUUCAUCUUUGCUCCAUGUAAUACCUAAUAAAGUAGCGUUUUAUGCAUGGCACAUUUUAACAAUACUAUGAAAAUACAAAUAACCAUGAUAAUUUGAUCAUUUUUCUUACCGUUACAUCUCUAAUUCUAUCAUUUACUCACUCUCAAGUUGUUCCAAACCUGUAUGAGUUUCUUUCAGCUGUUAUACACAAGAGAAGAUAUUCUGAAGUAUACUGGUAACCAAACGGUUGACGGCACCCAUAGACUUGCAUGGCAUGGGAAAAAAUUAUAUGAAAGUCAAUGGGUGCCGUCAGCUUUUUUGGCUACAAACAUUCUAAAACAAACAAACAAACAAAAAACAAGUUCAGCAGGAAUAUAACAGAGAGACUUGCUUGAGCUGGUUAACUAACCUAAUCGUCUUCAUUCACACACACACAAACCUGAUCCUGCCACGGCCCCCCCUUGAAUUUGAAUACGCAUCCCCUGCCAGAUUUCUGGCCUGGAGGAAAUUGCAGGACAUUUCCUAACAAAUUGAGUUAAGUAGACGUUAAGUAGAGUUUUAAGAAAACAAAUGAGUCCCUUUAUCACAGGUGGACACUGAUGACUUAAUGGGGCCCGAACAGAUCCUAUCACAGCUAAUGGCUCGACAGGAAACAUUACGGCUUUUGUGCGCAGGAGCGGCGCGAGGCGGGCUCCCUCUCUCAGACCUGUCAUCCGAGUGGCUUUGUGCGGAGGCAGAUGUUUGUAUGUAUACGGUGAGUUGGCAGGAGCCCCUCAGCAGAUGCCUGUCUGCGUGCCAAGCCGGCGAGGGCACAGACGGCGCGUGUUGGGCAUCAUCAGCGGGCGAUAGAAUCAGAGCAGGAAUGUGAACUCUAAGACCGUAAACACAGUCAAUGCUGAUUUCAUUCUGACUUUUACUACAAACAGCGUCUCCAUAAAGAAGCAGAGAGAAAGUGUCCAUCUCUGUUUUCAGGAGCAGGUACGCUCUGCUCCAUUAAAGCCACACUGUGGCCUCUCUUUUAUGUGACAUUUUAUUUGGCGGAGACAAACGAGCACCAGUUGGAUUAUAACAUAAUUUGUCUUGUCUUUAUUACCAGCACAAAGGACAACGUUCAUUAAUUAUUCCGGCGUAGCAGCUCAGCAGCGAGCGGAGAAGGUCUCUCUCCGGACAGAUGGUGAGGACACUGUUAUUUAUAUCAAUCAGCUCAAACUGUUCAGGCAGGAUUACUAUUCCUUAGACUAUCCUGAUUUAUUCCUCUCCCUCUCUUUGCCGUAGGCUGCCGUUUGUCCGUUUUAAUGGAAAGACGAUUGGAGGUGGAUCUCGGUGUGUCCUGGCAUGUUAAUCUACACCACGUGUUUGUUUAGGAGUGUCUGAAAGAUUUACUCCCUCAAGACACAGACGACUCAAACACCAACCGGAAGUGAACAGGUGCUGCUGGGAAAACACUUAUUACUCCCGUUCAUCGCCACCGACGUCUACCAACAACACACAGCAUGACCGUCAGGGCUAAUUAUAGUUGACAACAACUAAAACUCAAAUUAAAUGUAAAAGUAUAAAAAUAAAAAAAAAUUCAAAAUAAAUAAAUAAAUAAAUAAAUAAAUAAAUAAAUAAAUAAAUAAUAAUAAAAAAAAAAAAAAAAUAUAUAUAUAUAUAUAUAUAUAUAUAUAUAUAUAUAUAUAUAUAUAUAUAUAUAUAAUACUUUUACAUUUAAUUUGAGUUUUAGUUGACGUCAGCUAUAAUUAACCCUAUAUAUAUAUAUAUAUAUAUAUAUAUAUAUAUAUAUAUAUAUAUAUAUAUAUAUAUAAAACUACUUUUUUAUUUAUUAUUAGCAAAUGCAGCAUUUCUCUUUUCCUUUUUAUUUUCAAAUUGAUGUGCUAAAAUAACAAACUAAAAUGGAAAUAAAAAUGAAAAACUACAUAUAUAUUUAACAAAAAUAAUAAUAAUAAUAAUAAUAAUAAUAAUAAUAAUAAUAAUAAUAAUAAUAAUAAUAAUAAUAAUAAUAAUAAUAAAAAUGACAAAAGUACACCAAUACAGCCAGGCUUUACCUAAAACUGAAACAAUAAAAAUAUUUGUUACUUGAAAUAGAAAUAAAAUUUAAAAUGGUAAAGAAACAAUUAAUUCAAUUUAAUGUUAAAAUAAAAUAAAAUAAAAUAAAAUAAAAUAAAAUAAUAAAAUAAAAUAAAAUAAAAUAAAAUAAAAUAAAAUAUGACAAAGCAAAAUCUCAUUCAGUUAAAAUUUAAACACAAUCAAAAAUAAAAAAAUAAAUAAAUGGCAAAACAACAUCUCAUUCAGUUUAACAUGAAGUACUACAAAUAAACCUAAAAUUAUAUAUAUAUAUAUAUAUAUAUAUAUAUAUAUAUAUAAUGACAAAAACAAAAAAAUGUUGACUAAAAUUAAUUAAAAUGAAAGCUAUUAAAAAUACUAAUUCAAAAUAUUAUAUCAUAUAUCUAUCAUUCUAUCAUAUUCUACUAGCAUAGUAACUCAAUGAUACUAAAAAUUAUACUAAAAUCCAGACAAACUGAUUUUUAGCAAUAACAUUGAAGAAAAAGCAUACCAUCAAUUUCAUCAGAAUAAAUAAAAACAAUACUGAAAUACACUGUUACAUCAGAAGCCCAAACCAGAAGUUUGCAGAGACUCGAGCGAAGGCUCUUCUGCGUUAAAUUAAUAUUAAAGUUAUUGCUGGAAGAUUGUGAGUGAAAAUCGCUCUUUCACAUAUCAAAGCUUCUCUCUUCAGAACAAGACACAAACUGAGAUGAAUAAUUCGUCUUCGUAAUACUUAGGCCUAAGUUUGUCAGAAAAUAUGAUCUGCUGAAAUGAAUCAGAUUCGGGGAUAUUCUCUCAUGGCUCCGCUCUCCUGUUGAGCCCAAUCUGAACAAAUAUGCAGAAAUAACCGUGCAGGUUGUGAUUAAGAUUUUAAAU
ensembl:lncRNA